rnacentral:rRNA from 1 species
CCAGGUCCAGACAUAGUAAGGAUUGACAGAUUGAGAGC